rnacentral:rRNA from 1 species
AGACCAGACUCCUACGGGAGGCAGCAGUGGGGAAUAUUGGGCAAUGGGCGCAAGCCUGACCCAGCAACGCCGCGUGAAGGAAGAAGGCUUUCGGGUUGUAAACUUCUUUUGUCAGGGACGAAGCAAGUGACGGUACCUGACGAAUAAGCCACGGCUAACUCCGUGCCAGCAGCCGCGGUAAUACGGAGGAUGCGAGCGUUAUCCGGAUUUAUUGGGUUUAAAGGGUGCGUAGGCGGAAUGCCAAGUCAGCGGUAAAAUCGCGGGGCUCACCCCCGCUCCGCCGUUGAAACUGUGUCCCUUGAGUGCGCGAAGGGUAGGCGGAAUGCGUGGUGUAGCGGUGAAAUGCAUAGAUAUCACGCAGAACUCCGAUCGCGAAGGCAGCCUACCGGCGCGCAACUGACGCUCAUGCACGAAAGCGUGGGUAUCGAACAGGAUUAGAUACCCCUGUAGC